rnacentral:rRNA from 1 species
GGGCAUCUUCUUGUUUUUAAAAGACCUAGCAAUAGGUAUGCUUAGGGAGGAGCUUGCGUCACAUUAGUUAGUUGGUGGGGUAAAGGCCUACCAAGACUAUGAUGUGUAGCCGGGCUGAGAGGUUGAACGGCCACAUUGGGACUGAGACACGGCCCAAACUCCUACGGGAGGCAGCAGUAGGGAAUUUUCGGCAAUGGAGGAAACUCUGACCGAGCAACGCCGCGUGAACGAUGAAGUAUUUCGGUACGUAAAGUUCUUUUAUUAGGGAAGAAUAAAUGAUGGAAAAAUCAUUCUGACGGUACCUAAUGAAUAAGCCCCGGCUAACUAUGUGCCAGCAGCCGCGGUAAUACAUAGGGGGCAAGCGUUAUCCGGAAUUAUUGGGCGUAAAGGGUGCGUAGGCGGUUAAAUAAGUUUAUGGUCUAAGUGCAAUGCUCAACAUUGUGAUGCUAUAAAAACUGUUUAGCUAGAGUAAGAUAGAGGCAAGUGGAAUUCCAUGUGUAGUGGUAAAAUGCGUAAAUAUAUGGAGGAACACCAGUAGCGAAGGCGGCUUGCUGGGUCUUUACUGACGCUGAGGCACGAAAGCGUGGGGAGCAAACAGGAUUAGAUACCCUGGUAGUCCACGCCGUAAACGAUGAGUACUAAACGUUGGGUAAAACCAGUGUUGAAGUUAACACAUUAAGUACUCCGCCUGAGUAGUACGUACGCAAGUAUGAAACUUAAAGGAAUUGACGGGACUCCGCACAAGCGGUGGAUCAUGUUGUUUAAUUCGAAGGUACCCGAAAAACCUCACCAGGUCUUGACAUGCUUCUGCAAAGCUGUAGAAACACAGUGGAGGUUAUCAGUUGCACAGGUGGUGCAUGGUUGUCGUCAGCUCGUGUCGUGAGAUGUUGGGUUAAGUCCCGCAACGAGCGCAACCCUUAUUGUUAGUUACCAGCACGUAAUGGUGGGGACUUUAGCAAGACUGCCAGUGAUAAAUUGGAGGAAGGUGGGGACGACGUCAAAUCAUCAUGCCCCUUAUGACCUGGGCUACAAACGUGAUACAAUGGCUGUUACAAAGGGUAGCUGAAGCGCAAGUUUUUGGCGAAUCUCAAAAAAACAGUCUCAGUUCGGAUUGAAGUCUGCAACUCGACUUCAUGAAGUUGGAAUCGCUAGUAAUCGCGAAUCAGCAUGUCGCGGUGAAUACGUUCUCGGGGUUUGUACACACCGCCCGUC